UGAAACAUCUAAGUACCCCGAGGAAAAGAAAUCAACCGAGAUUCCCCCAGUAGCGGCGAGCGAACGGGGAGCAGCCCGGAGUCUGAAUCAGCUUGUGUGUUAGUGGAAGCGUCUGGAAAGUCGCAGGGUACAGGGUGAUACUCCCGUACACUAAAACACACAGGCUGUGAACUCGAAGAGUAGGGCGGGACACGUGGUAUCCUGUCUGAAUAUGGGGGGACCAUCCUCCAAGGCUAAAUACUCCUGACUGACCGAUAGUGAACCAGUACCGUGAGGGAAAGGCGAAAAGAACCCCGGCGAGGGGAGUGAAAAAGAACCUGAAACCGUGUACGUACAAGCAGUAGGAGCCCACUAGUUGGGUGACUGCGUACCUUUUGUAUAAUGGGUCAGCGACUUAUAUUCUGUAGCAAGGUUAACCGUAUAGGGGAGCCGCAGGGAAACCGAGUCUUAACUGGGCGUUAAGUUGCAGGGUAUAGACCCGAAACCCGGUGAUCUAGCCAUGGGCAGGUUGAAGGUUGGGUAACACUAACUGGAGGACCGAACCGACUAAUGUUGAAAAAUUAGCGGAUGACUUGUGGCUGGGGGUGAAAGGCCAAUCAAACCGGGAGAUAGCUGGUUCUCCCCGAAAGCU
rnacentral:rRNA from 1 species